AUUCUCGACUCCGUUAGCUGAUGAAUCAAGAAGGCUCGGUGCGCUUCGACUCGGCGAUUCCAUCGUUUAGAACUUGCCGGAAUGAAUUUAAUAUAACCGCUAAGGAGCGGAGAUACUUUACUCCGAAGAGGAAAAGUUUGUAAGCACCAAUUUAUCUUCGAUGCAUAGCGCGGAGAAAUUUACCGCAGCCUCGUGAAAGUUGAUCCACUAGUAUGUACAUUAAUUCAUACAGUCUCGGUAAUCCUCCCUGAACAGCAUGGGUACCGUGUUGUGUUUCCAUUACAUCAGGGGUCGGCAAAUUUUUUCUGAAGAGGGCCGAUAUUAAAAAUGUUGGGCUUUGCGGACCAAGAGGUAAUGUCGCGGAAAUUAUUCAUAACACUUAUACGUAACAUGCAGGACAAAGUUUAUAUCGUUUUUGUAUUAUCAGUAUACAAGAACGUUAUUGCAUAUGAACAAAUAUAUCAACGUUCUUCAUUAUUAAUAGUUCAUUAUUAAUCGAUUGUAAAUGUUCAUCUUAUUUCCCUUUUAAAAAUCUCAUUUUAUCCAGAACGAUGCAGAUGAGCAGUGUAAAAUAUUUAAAUGGAUCAGAUAAUGGAAGUUUUUGUUUCCAAUGGAUAUUCUCAAAUUCAAUAGAUUGCGAAUAAUAUAAUUUUUUAUAUAAACGUUUACAAUCAGUUUCUGAUCAUCAUCAGGUAUAGAAAAACAUUAGGAAAAACUGUAAAAAAAAAAACUGUAAAUAUGUUUUGGAAUAUUGCAUACAACGAGUAGAGAAAUUGUUUGUAUUUUUGUAUAGACUUCCUCAAUAUGUUCCUACUAACCUCGCAGAGACAUUGUUUGCCGAUCUCUAUAUUACGUUUUAUCUUUCUGAGAAAAGAUUCCAUCUAUUUCUAUCGAUCUCUAAAUUUUAACAAAUAUUUUCAUAAAUCGUACAACCGUCCACUCAAGCUUUAUUUAGAAGAAAUUUAUCCUGGAAAUGCACAAACUGUCGCAUGCACAAAUCGUACCCUCUCGCACAGAGUAAUCGUUUCUGUGCGGUCUGUCGAUUGGUCGUGCAAAUAAAAAUUAAAAUGCCUACCUAUGAGAUUAGAAUUGAACGCAGCCUAAGAGUUAUGAUGCGAUCUCGAGCCGCCCCCUUCGAUAGCAGUUAAGUUUCCAGCCAUGGGCGGUCGAAGGUAAGUAACAGUGUUUGUAACAGGCUAACGAGAUACCUUAAACAACGAACGGACCUAUGGCUGCAAAACGCUCGCGUAAAAUGCUGCGGUUACACAUCAAGCCAUCGGAACGAUAAUUGAAAGUGACCGUACGAGCACGGUCGGGCGCGUAUCGGGCCAGCCAACCACAGCGAAGGCAUCCAAAACGCUGGGCUUCUUUCUGCAGCGUUAAAUAAAAUCCUUGCGGUUUUCAUGCCGAUUUCACUACGGCAUUCGAUGAAGCGCGGCGCCGCACUUCCGCAUUCCGGCGUUUAUCGGGCUGCGCCGUCGGUCAGCGUACUCGGAAAGAAAUUUACGUGCGUCGCCCCGUGCUCUGGUUUCCCCAGCCCCAGGGCGAAAUUAAUCUCCUAUUAACAUUAUUGUCGACUCUCGGACGAACGUGUCCAGAACGACGCUGAUCGAUCUCUUACGAAGCCAAGGAUCUUGAUUUCUUUGGAUAAAAAAUCCAAGGUUUUUGUUGAAGGUGUAUCUUUCUUUUUCCUUGGUUGAAAUGUAAGGUUUUUUGGGAGUUGUAUUCUACAGUUUGAUUGACGUAGAAUUUUCAAUUAACGCGACAGUGUUCAAUCGUAAUGCAUUUAUAGGAAAUUUGGAUGCGCAAGAAGCUACAAAAUGCAUAGAGUACGAAAUAAUAUAAAAAAAAAAUAGUGAAAGUAAAAUCCAUAUCGUAACAUUUGCAGAGUAAAAUAAAUUCCUAUUUAGGACCAAGGUACGUUUGCAAAAAUGUUAUUUAUCCACUGUCUAUAAUCUCCGCCUAUACUCGACAAAGUUCAAGUCUCGAAUUCUCUAAACCGCGAUGCCACUCUUCUCGAUUAAAACAAACAACAUCCAACAAUUUCCUUGAUCGAUCACGACCAAUUUUGACUUUCGCGUGAUAUAACGUGUUUCCUAACACGCGUUCCUGAAAAUGACUCAUUUUAUCACCCCAACAAAACCGGAAUCCAGGCUGAAGAUUGUUGUCGAGCCUCGAGGCGACGCACGGCGUACGCGAUCGACCGUAAUCGGA